rnacentral:rRNA from 1 species
CGGGGUGAGUAAUGUAUGGGGAUCUGCCUGAUGGCGGGGGGUAACUACUGGAAACGGUAGCUAAUACCGCAUAAUGUCUACGGACCAAAGCGGGGGACCUCCGGGCCUCGCGCCAUCAGAUGAACCCAUAUGGGAUUAGCUUGUAGGUAAGGUAACGGCUUACCUAGGCGACGAUCCCUAGCUGGUCUGAGAGGAUGAUCAGCCACACUGGAACUGAGACACGGUCCAG